rnacentral:rRNA from 1 species
UACAGAGGUCCCGAGCGUUGUUCGGAUUCACUGGGCGUAAAGGGUGCGUAGGUGGUGAGGUAAGUCGGAUGUGAAAGCUCGGAGCUCAACUCCGAAAUGGCAUUGGAAACUACCUUGCUCGAGGGUUGGAGGGGGGACUGGAAUACUUGGUGUAGCAGUGAAAUGCGUAGAUAUCUGGAGGAACACCGGUGGCGAAGGCGGCAUCCUGGACCAAUUCUGACGCUGAGGAGCGAAAGCCAGGGGAGCAAACAGG